AACGAACGCUGGCGGCAAGCUUAACACAUGCAAGUCGAACGCCUGUAGCAAUACAGGAGUGGCAGACGGGUGAGUAACACGUGGGAACGUGCCCAAAGGUACGGAACAACUCCGGGAAACUGGAGCUAAUACCGUAUGUGCCCGAAAGGGGAAAGAUUUAUCGCCUUUGGAUCGGCCCGCGUCUGAUUAGCUAGUUGGUGGGGUAAUGGCCUACCAAGGCGACGAUCAGUAGCUGGUCUGAGAGGAUGGCCAGCCACACUGAGACUGAGACACGGCUCAGACUCCUACGGGAGGCAGCAGUGGGGAAUAUUGGACAAUGGGCGCAAGCCUGAUCCAGCCAUGCCGCGUGAGUGAUGAAGGCCUUAGGGUUGUAAAGCUCUUUCGCCAGGGACGAUAAUGACGGUAACCGGAGAAGAAGCCCCGGCUAACUUCGUGCCAGCCGCCGCCGUAA
rnacentral:rRNA from 1 species